rnacentral:rRNA from 1 species
ACGCGUAAAGAACUUGCCUCUUAGACCGGGACAACAUCUGGAAACGGAUGCUAAUACCGGAUAUUAUGGUUUCUUCGCAUGGAGGAAUCAUGAAAGCUACAUGCGCUAAGAGAGAGCUUUGCGUCCCAUUAGCUCGUUGGUGAGGUAACGGCCCACCAAGGCAAUGAUGGGUAGCCGGCCUGAGAGGGUGAACGGCCACAAGGGGACUGAGACACGGCCCUUACUCCUACGGGAGGCAGCAGUGGGGAAUAUUGGACAAUGGACCACAAGUCUGAUCCAGCAAUUCUGUGUGCACGAUGACGUUUUUCGGAAUGUAAAGUGCUUUCAGUCGGGAAGAAGUCAGUGACGGUACCGACAGAAGAAGCGACGGCUAAAUACGUGCCAGCAGCCGCGGUAAUACGUAUGUCGCAAGCGUUAUCCGGAUUUAUUGGGCGUAAAGCGCGUCUAGGCGGCAAGGAAAGUCUGAUGUGAAAAUGCGGAGCUCAACUCCGUAUGGCGUUGGAAACUGCCUUACUAGAGUACUGGAGAGGUAGGCGGAACUACAAGUGUAGAGGUGAAAUUCGUAGAUAUUUGUAGGAAUGCCGAUGGGGAAGCCAGCCUACUGGACAGAUACUGACGCUAAAGCGCGAAAGCGUGGGUAGCAAACAGGAUUAGAUACCCUGGUAGUCCACGCUGUAAACGAUGAUUACUAGGU